AACGAACGCUGGCGGCAUGCCUAACACAUGCAAGUCGAACGAGACCUUCGGGUCUAGUGGCGCACGGGUGCGUAACGCGUGGGAACCUGCCCUUAGGUUCGGAAUAACUCCCCGAAAGGGGUGCUAAUACCGGAUAAUGUCUUCGGACCAAAGAUUUAUCGCCUUUGGAUGGGCCCGCGUUGGAUUAGCUAGUUGGUAGGGUAAAAGCCUACCAAGGCGACGAUCCAUAGCUGGUCUGAGAGGAUGAUCAGCCACACUGGGACUGAGACACGGCCCAGACUCCUACGGGAGGCAGCAGUGGGGAAUAUUGGACAAGGGGCGAAAGCCUGAUCCAGCAAUGCCGCGUGAGUGAUGGAGGCCUUAGGGUUGUAAAGCUCUUUUACCCGGGAUGAUAAUGACAGUACCGGGAGAAUAAGCUCCGGCUAACUCCGUG
rnacentral:rRNA from 1 species